rnacentral:rRNA from 1 species
AUUGAACGCUGGCGGCAUGCUUUACACAUGCCAGUCGAACGGUAACAGGCCUUCGGGUGCUGACGAGUGGCGAACGGGUGAGUAAUGCAUCGGAACGUACCCAGAGGUGGGGGAUAACGCAGCGAAAGCUGUGCUAAUACCGCAUGUGAUCUGAGGAUGAAAGCGGGGGACCGAGCAGCAAUGUUUGGCCUCGCGCCUUUGGAGCGGCCGAUGUCGGAUUAGCUAGUUGGGGGGGUAAAGGCCUACCAAGGCGACGAUCCGUAGCUGGUCUGAGAGGACGACCAGCCACACUGGGACUGAGACACGGCCCAGACUCCUACGGGAGGCAGCAGUGGGGAAUUUUGGACAAUGGGCGCAAGCCUGAUCCAGCAAUGCCGCGUGCGGGAAGAAGGCCUUCGGGUUGUAAACCGCUUUUGGCAGGAACGAAACGGUGUCCGCUAAUACCGGGCGCUAAUGACGGUACCUGCAGAAUAAGCACCGGCUAACUACGG